rnacentral:rRNA from 1 species
AACAGGAUUAGAUACCCUGGUAGUCCCCGCCCUAAACGAUGUCUACUAGUUGUCGGUCUUAAAUUGACUUGGUAACGCAGCUAACGCGUGAAGUAGACCGCCUGGGGAGUACGGUCGCAAGAUUAAAACUCAAAGGAAUUGACGGGGACCCGCACAAGCGGUGGAUGAUGUGGAUUAAUUCGAUGCAACGCGAAAAACCUUACCUACCCUUGACAUGGCUGGAAUCCUUGAGAGAUCAGGGAGUGCUCGAAAGAGAACCAGUACACAGGUGCUGCAUGGCUGUCGUCAGCUCGUGUCGUGAGAUGUUGGGUUAAGUCCCGCAACGAGCGCAACCCUUGUCAUUAGUUGCUACGAAAGGGCACUCUAAUGAGACUGCCGGUGACAAACCGGAGGAAGGUGGGGAUGACGUCAAGUCCUCAUGGCCCUUAUGGGUAGGGCUUCACACGUCAUACAAUGGUACAUACAGAGCGCCGCCAACCCGCGAGGGGGAGCUAAUCGCAGAAA